GAUGAACGCUGGCGGCGUGCCUAAUACAUGCAAGUCGAGCGAACAGACGAGGAGCUUGCUCCUCUGACGUUAGCGGCGGACGGGUGAGUAACACGUGGAUAACCUACCUAUAAGACUGGGAUAACUUCGGGAAACCGGAGCUAAUACCGGAUAACAUGUUGAACCGCAUGGUUCAACAGUGAAAGACGGUCUUGCUGUCACUUAUAGAUGGAUCCGCGCCGCAUUAGCUAGUUGGUAAGGUAACGGCUUACCAAGGCAACGAUGCGUAGCCGACCUGAGAGGGUGAUCGGCCACACUGGAACUGAGACACGGUCCAGACUCCUACGGGAGGCAGCAGUAGGGAAUCUUCCGCAAUGGGCGAAAGCCUGACGGAGCAACGCCGCGUGAGUGAAGAAGGUCUUCGGAUCGUAAAACGCUGUUAUUAGGGAAGAACAAAUGUGUAAGUAACUAUGCACGUCUUGACGGUACCUAAUCAGAAAGCCACGGCUAACUACGUG
rnacentral:rRNA from 1 species